GAUGAAGAACGCAGCGAAAUGCGAUAAGUAGUGUGAAUUGCAGAUUUCAGUGAAUCAUCGAAUCUUUGAACGCACAUUGCGCCCGCCAGUAUUCUGGCGGGCAUGCCUGUUCGAGCGUCAUUACAACCCUCAGGCCCCCGGGCCUGGCGUUGGGGAUCGGCGGAGCCCCCCGUGGGCACACGCCGUCCCCCAAAUGCAGUGGCGGUCCCGCCGCAGCUUCCAUCGCGUAGUAGCUAACACCUCGCGACUGGAGAGCGGCGCGGCCACGCCGUAAAACACCCAACUCUUCUGAAGUUGACCUCGAAUCAGGUAGGAAUACCCGCUGAACUUAAGCAUAUCAAUAAGCGGAGGA
rnacentral:misc_RNA from 1 species